rnacentral:lncRNA from 1 species
AUAAAAAUAUUCAAGAAUAUCAAAACAUAACAUGUCCUAUUAAACUGGAAUGAAAAAUAAGGAAGACCUGCCUCCAUCAAAAUGAAAUGACUAUAAAUAAUUUGAUAUUAAAGAUUGUAAACCCAAAACAUGUCCUGUUGACUUAUAUUUCAUACUGUAUGUAUACCUUUCAAUUGAUACAAAUUCAGCAAGAGUUACUUCCCUUAUAAUACCAUUUUGGAGGUUUAAGUGCACAAACUCUUUUAAAGAAUCUUGCAUAAAUUAGUCAAAUUCAACUGUUAUACAGACCGCUAGACUUGAGUAAAAAAUAAAUUUCUGAACAAUUUAAAUUUUGUAUAGCCUUGCUUUCUUUUAAUUCAUCCCUAUCCCAUAAUAAGGAUCUCUUAUUAGACUUGGUUGUAUAGCAUGUAGCUGGUUCUCUCCAGCUUCCUCAACUUAUAAAAACUGCACGUGACUGCCACGAAAUAGCACAAUAGUGUUGAAAGUGGCUUUAAACGCCAAUCAAUCAAUCGAUGUAUGGCAUGUUGCAUUUUGGUUAGUCAAACAAGAAAUUAAACCAUCAAUCUGUCUAAAAUGGCGACCAAGGGAAACAACUUAAACAUGAAACUCAGAGUAUAUCAAUCGAAACCAAUCUAUUCAUAAAGAUGACCUGAUUGCAUAACCAUAGGUAUGAAUAUUGAAAUGAAAUAUAGGUUACUUUAGCUUAAUUUAACUUGCGUAUUUAUAUAACCUCUUUGGGUCAAGAUAGAAAACUAUGCACACAAUUG